rnacentral:rRNA from 1 species
AGUGAACGCUGGCGGUAGGCCUAACACAUGCAAGUCGAACGGCAGCACAGUAAGAGCUUGCUCUUACGGGUGGCGAGUGGCGGACGGGUGAGGAAUACAUCGGAAUCUACUUUUUCGUGGGGGAUAACGUAGGGAAACUUACGCUAAUACCGCAUACGACCUACGGGUGAAAGCAGGGGAUCUUCGGACCUUGCGCGAUUGAAUGAGCCGAUGUCGGAUUAGCUAGUUGGCGGGGUAAAGGCCCACCAAGGCGACGAUCCGUAGCUGGUCUGAGAGGAUGAUCAGCCACACUGGAACUGAGACACGAUGCAGACUCCUACGGGAGGAAGCAGUGGGGAAUAUUGGACAAUGGGCGGAAGCAUGAUCCAGCCAUGCCGCGUGGGUGAAGAAGGCCUUCGGGUUGUAAAGCCCUUUUGUUGGGAAAGAAAAGCAGCAGGUUAAUACCCCGCUGUUCUGACGGUACCCAAAGAAUAAGCACCGGCUAACUUCGUG